CAGGUCCUUUGAAUACCAGGGCAAAUAAUUGUCAGGCAUAUGUGUCAUUCCAAUUUUUGACCCAUUUGAGUAAAAAAGCAGUAAUAAUUCGGCAACAACUAAAACACAAUGGACACAGUUUACAGAUAAAAGAGGAAAAACACCAAUCACGCCCAGAUCACAGCUUACUGCUUUAUAUAGAUGCUUUACUUGAUCAGGGGAAAAAACCCAUGGAAAUAUUGUGCAAAGCAU